CGAUCGAAGAAGUCGACCAUGCGCCGCCGAUCGCAUUCCCUAGCCACGAUCGGUCGGCGGGGCCUCGACGAGCAACUGCCGGCAUCCCGGACAGAUCCCGCAGCCCUCUGAGGGCCAGAGCUCGGCCCGCCACCAGGUCAACCAGGGAAGUUAUGAGCGCAUCCCAAAUGGGACAACAACUUUCCCUUCCUAUUUCUUUUUAUUUUUGUGCAUCUGUUUUUUCUUCAACUGAACCUUGUUCAUUUCCACCUGAGGUCCGGAGCAAGACCACCCCAAAGACCAGCUGAUCAGCAUUCGGAGAACUGUCAUGCGCUGAAUCCGCCUAAACCACUGCGUUACCGUCAUCCGCCAUCAUGCAGGGAGAACUGUCGUGCUGAAUCCGCCGAAACCACUGCGUUACUGUCAUCCGCAGACACCACUGCGUUACCUUCCUCCGUCAUCAUGCAGGUAUGG